UCGGGUCGUCUGACUUGGCUGGGGAGCCUUCGGCUCCGCUGGGAACCGACGAUGCUGAUUCUGACCGUCCCUCUUUCUUUCUCUCGGUCUUUUUUACCUGUACGACAACGAGAAAGGAUUGAGUUGCCCGCAGUGUGAGAAUGGCAUGCAGCUGGUCGUUGUUGUUUGAAUCGUGUGACUAUCAAGGCAGUAGCAUCGCUGGUGUGCGCUAGUAAUGCGGUUGAAAGUCAUUACACGGAAGAUGCAACUGGAAUGCUUUGGAGGUGAACAGAAAAAUGUGGUUUGGCAAUCUCUUCUCCUGAUGACAGUUGACGUAUUUUAGUAUUAGACAAACUUUCUCAACUCAAUCUGUACACUAUCUACGCAAUUGUCAAACCAAUACCAGAUCAUCUUGCAAUCUUGGCUGUUGAAGUUGAUUUAUUCACAAUAUUGGAUACGUUAUUUGUUUGAACAGUGGACGAAUUCGAAGAUACGCAUGGUGGCGAGAGUACAUGGUAUGCUAGCGUCUGAAUGUGAGUGUCAAGCAUGGCUGGCUUUAGAUGAGUGGCGUAUAUCAUAUGUUAAAAGUUUGUAACGGAUUGCGAAGGCAUGCAUGGUCACUAUGAAGCUGCUCACCACUUCACAUUUCACAGAGAAAUACAUUAACUAGAGCCGGUGUCAGGCGCAUUCCAAGAAAAUGUGUCUAAUUAGUUAGAGCCGCACAAGUUAUACUGUGCCCGCUUUUUUGUUGCUUGGUAAGAAGUCUUGUUUGUUGUUAAUUGGCUUAGGCAACGUCUAAUUUUUCU